GUACGGGAGGCAGCAGUAAGGAAUAUUGCGCAAUGGGCGACAGCCUGACGCAGCGACGCCGCGUGGGGGAUGAAGGUCUUCGGAUUGUAAACCCCUUUCGGCAGGGAAGAUGGAACGGGUAACCGUUCGGACGGUACCUGCAGAAGCAGCCACGGCUAACUUCGUGCCAGCAGCCGCGGUAAUACGAAGGUGGCAAGCGUUGUUCGGAUUUACUGGGCGUACAGGGAGCGUAGGCGGUUGGGUAAGCCCUCCGUGAAAUCUCCGGGCCUAACCCGGAAAGUGCGGAGGGGACUGCUCGGCUAGAGGAUGGGAGAGGAGCGCGGAAUUCCCGGUGUAGCGGUGAAAUGCGUAGAGAUCGGGAGGAAGGCCGGUGGCGAAGGCGGCGCUCUGGAACAUUUCUGACGCUGAGGCUCGAAAGCGUGGGGAGCAAACAGGAUUAGAUACCCCGGU
rnacentral:rRNA from 1 species